AGUAAACUAAUAAAGAUUAAUAAAAGAAGAGAGUUAUAAAUAGUUAAUAGAUCAUAUACAUACAAAUGAUUGCAAAGACCACAUAUCAGGUUUGUACUGGUGAGGGAAUAGAUGGCUGGCUUGCAAAAGUCUCUCUGGUAACUUCAAAAAGAUUGGAAGGUCCUCAGUCCAUAGUUCAAGAUACUCUUUUUAGUUGUAAAUCCACAGUCCAGAGAAUUAGGAGCAGGAAAAAAGCAAAAUGGAUAUCUCAGGGGUUUUUCAUACUCUCUGCCAUGUGCAUGGAAAUCUGUCCCAAACAAAGCCCACAGCCUGUGUAUAGAAAGUUACUGGCCUAACAUGGAGUCUAGAGUCACAUAAGCAUAGAAAGCUACUGGUAAAAGAUGGAGUCUUAGAUCACGUCCUCAUCACAUGUCUUUAUAUGCUUUGCUGAAUCACAGGGGCGGCCAUUGGUGCCCCGCUGUCGGAGGCAUCUGCAGGAAGGCCUACUGGGCAGGAUGAAUUUCUUCAGUGGCCCUUUGUGAGAGCCGAGUGUCCUUAAUGGCCAUCAGCACAUUGCUGUCUAGCUCUGAUGUAAAUCUAUCUGGGGAGUGUCACCCAAUACAACACAUGUUUAAGAUACAAGUACAUAGCCAAUAUUCAUAACAUCAGAUACAAAGGUGAUCCAGAACAUUGGAUACAAAGAUGAUACAUGCAUAUAAACAGGAUAAUCAGACUUAGCAAAUCAUAACUUUUCCAUUGAUACCUUACACAAUUUCCAUAAGUCUUGUAUAAAGUAUAUCAUGUAACAGUGGUAACAACAGUGAUAUAAAUAUACACAGCAUCACACCAUAGAUUUCAAUGGAGUUAAAAAAUCCCCACUUUAUCCUCCCUAGAUCCUAGCUCUUCUCUUCUACAGCUUUUCCAGGAUUAGUGCAUAUGAAAUCCUGAACCUCCAGCAGAAACAGCAAGGCUUGGGCAUGCUAUCCCCACUCCAUGAAGAGAGACUCUGCAGAGUCUGGUGUGUGUAACAGCUGGGCUUAUUUGGCCCAAGUCACAACUUCAUCUUAUUCAUAUAAAAAACAUUGUAAUCACAUGCUUUAAUGAAAUUCAAACUUCACUACAAUCUACUCAGAGGGACCCAGAAUUUGAAUAACAGAGGUGUUGCAGGCAGCUUCAAUUUGCAUAGAUGCUAGGUGGUAAUGCUUGUAGAGUGCAUAAUUGCACUAUGUCUGGCUCUGGCAAGUGCCAUCUGUUUUUCAUUUUCUUUAGCAGUAUAAUCAUCACUUCCACCCUCCCCACCUCCCAAAUAUAAAAUGUGAUUGCCUUCGCACCUUCAAUGCAAUCCCAGUUAGGCUGUAUGUCUAUUGAUUUAUUCUACCACAACACAAUGAACCAACUACUAGAUCAUUCAUCACUUAUAAAACUGAAUGUAUAGGGGGAAAUCAAAUGCUAAGGAGACAAACCAGAACCCAGUUCUGCUCACCUGAGCUCAGAGAACAGCUCAGAAGAAAUGUUUUUAAAUAUGCAAAAGUUCAUGAGGAUGAAAGCAACGUAAGUGUUAUCUUAAUACAAACUAAUAAUAAUAUAGUACUAGUGAAGCAGCAGCAGCAUGGAAAUGGGGAAAACUCUUAUCAUAGCUGGGCAAAGGGAAUUAUUUGCUUAAUGUUUUCUGUUUCAAUUAACAUUCCUGCCAGCAAACUCAUUUGCAAAAUACAUGUGGAAAGUGAACACAAAACACUGAACACUAUCACAGAGAAUUCAUUUUAAAAUCAGAAUAUUUGUGGAAGGCUUUCCCCCCCCCCCGGUAUUCAUUUCACUGUACUUAUUAAGCAUCUUUCAUAUAUAAGUUUCCAGAAAACUGCCAGAUAUACUCCAACAUGCUCUGCAUAUAUGGGGGCAGAAAGAACUGGGAAGACAAAGUUAUGAUUUUGUAUAAAAUCAACUAAUUUCAAACCAACAUAUGUGGUGGGUCAAAAGAUUCAGCACAUUACAAAAGCAAUUAAAAUGAGCAAUUGAGUGUACUUUAAACACCAUGAAUGUAUUUGCUGAAAUAUGGUACAAAGUAAUCAUAGAUUCCUGAGUCCUUGAACAAAGACUCUUUCUGUUUAAAGAUGUAGAUUGCAAACGAUACAAAAUAUAGUUGCAAUUUGGUUUGAGAACAAUUACAAAGACAGCCCAAAUAAAAAGGAGAAACUUUACCUCAAGCCCUCUUUGAACUCCUCAGCUAUACUGUUGUGAUACAAUUACUUUCAGGGAGAAACAGGACUUGACCCCAAAGCUACUGUGUGCCGCAAACUAAAUGAGAUGAUUAACAGGAUAUUGUCAGAUCACAUAUAUUCUUACACACUCACAAAACCAUGUUAAAAGAACAGUGAUAAGGUUGAAAAGUUGAGCAUUCAAAGAUUAGGAAAUGCCAGAAUGAAGGUUGCUGUGCAACUAGCAAGAUGUAUAGAAAAUGUGCUUCCGUUUUACAAAUGUGUGGGUGAGGAGAGCGAGGGGGGCAGUUGCAAAGAGAGAAUCCAACUGAAGAGUACUGGGAUGGAGUACAUUUUGGAGGUGGUGUUACAAACAUGAUUCAACAUGGGAUGAAAUAGUGAAGCCAUUGAGGGAGGGCCACGCUGGCCUGUUCAGUCCUGGGAGGAUGGUCAGGCUAGGAGGGCAGAAGGCUCAAUCACUGGAUAGCCAUGACCUACAGAGCCACACAAUGGAAUGUGGAAAUCAGACAACAGGUUCCCCACAAGUCCUCAUUCCUCUGUUUUCCUUUCCUAGGGACCCUGGAGGCUACUACUGCCCUGGGUUAGCAGUACUUCCAAUAGACCUGCCUACAUGAAGGAGAGACAUGGGAGGACCAGGACUGGGGGGCUCAUUCUACAACCUAACACAACCGAUGCCUGAAUGGAACUGGAACCAGUGGCUUCUGAGGACCUGCAUUGUUCCCAGCAUUUUUUUUUUUUUUAGCUUGGGGAAGUUGAUGGGGGGAAGGUUUUCAACCUUGGCAGUGUGUGUAUAUGUGAGAUACUUAACGAACUUCAGCUCCAGAGGCAGGUGAUGGGGCUGGCAGCCUCUGUGCUUCAGUACGGUUGCUGCAGAACGGGGAUGCCCAUUGCUCUGUAGCUGCAAAACUCAACCAGGUUAUAGAGCCCAACUGCAGGGAAUCAAGGCCAGGUUUUAAUUUUCCUUUCACUGCAUAAAAAGAGAGAACAGAGCACUUACCCCAGGCACAAGAAAGCCUUCCACUUACUUAAAACACGCAUCAUGGAACUCAACCAAAUCUAGCAGCCAAACUGUACUGACCCCAUAACAACAAUGAAUCAAGAUGAUCUACCUUGGCCUGUGAUUUUUAAGUAGACAAUGUCCCUUUAAUUUUAUCAUUCUGUGUUUUUGAUUAUCUAUAUUAAAGGCUAAUAAAUUCUUAGCUAGGCUUAAAGCAGCAGCAGCAUUUUUGAACAUUCAACCAUUCAGAAUUUCGCCCAUUUUAAUUAUUACGCUUCAUGAAAUGUAUCCUGUUUUGCCUUUUCCAAUCUUUCUUACAGAGGAAACGAGAUCUAGAAACAGAAAAUUGAUCAAACGCCAAGUCAGUCUGUGUAUUUGUACUUAGUUACAUAUCACCAAUUGCCACAUUUGAUUUGGAAUCUAAUCUGUGCUUCAGAUUUGAAACUGCUAACAUAGGAAGAGCACCCCUCUAAAGCUCUGAAUGCAUGCAUUGUUGGUCACAUUUAAUUUGACUCAGCUUAUAUGAAGCAUGACCUAGAGAAAGGGUAUGUUUCCAGUCUGUCUUAUGGACUCAUGCCUCCAUUAAAUUGCACUAUAGGUCUAAUUAUAUUUUGAAUGCUUUUUACUUGGCUGCAUAUAUAAACACACAGGGAAAAAAAGAAAAGAAAAACCCAUUCCACAAGGCCCACAAGUGAAUUCUUAAAAAAUAAACCAUUUUAAAUGUUUCUCAGGGUUCCCCAUCUCUUGAUUUUUUCCAGUGUUUCUCAUCUUCUCUGUGCCUAUAAUUUAGACAGUAAACUCUUUUGACCAACCAUUUUUGCGUAUGUAUUACACAGUGCCAAGCACGUUUGAAGCUCAACAAAUAAUUAAUAAAGAAAUAAUAAUAAUCUGGAGUCUUUUGACCUUUUGGUCAGGCUGCAAGUUUUGCUCUUUUGAUAAAGCUUUUCCACCAUGCAAGUACUACCCCUUCCCUAUCUCAAGCAGCACAUCCCAUAACCAAAAGAAGAGAGAUGAGGACUCCAUAAAGUUGGCUAAAACCUUAUUAUAGCAAGUAAUGAUGUCUGUUAGACUGGUGUAAUGGGAGUUCUUGGGUACUCACACUGUUCUGUCUUUAGAAUGUAAACCUUUCAGGGAAAACAUUGUUUUCUAUGAUUGUACAGCACCCAGUACAGUGGGUUACCUCAAUCUCUACUAGGACCUUAGGGCAAUACCAUAGUAUAAUAUUUACUACUACUCCACUCUCUCCCGAACUAAUUGGAAUCCACACUAUUCUAAUGCAACAUCAAAAUAAUCAAAAAACCAAGGAAUUAUGAUAUAUCUAAAAUCCAACAAUUUAUUUGUCCCAUUACUGGUUCCUCUCUUCUGAACACUUUCUCCCUUUCUUAGAAUAAAUGUAGUACUCAUCUGGGCCUGUGUUCUACCCUGGUCUGAAAGGUCUAUUUCUAGCAUAGUUCAGUAUCCAAGAUUGUUCUGCAGGUGUCCUCUCUAGUGAGAAUGUCAUCAAGGCUGCCAGUUGUGGUGGUUUUUGUGAUAUGAAGUCUAUCUAUUAGGAACUAGGCUGAAACUUCUUUCACAAAAGCCACUACACUGCUGUGAGGUGGAAAUGACUACCUAUCUGAAUUACAACCAGAACUAAAGACUGAAAAGUGAAAGGCUUUGAAAUCUACUAUUCAUCCCAUGAUCUACUCAAUCACCCCAUUAGCUGUGUCUGAAAAUUGGUAUGGAAAUGUACAAAAUUUCUCUCUCUCAUGUCAGAAUUUCAUAGCCACACUAUUCAGAUCACUCACUUUGUUCUCCCCAUUUUAUAAUGAGGAAAUGAUUUGACCCAACAGAAAGUAUCAUGUUUAUUUUUAUUCACGCUGGUCCUGCUUUGAGCAGGGGAUUGGACUAGAUGACCUCCUGAAGUGUCCACCAACCCUAAUCUUCUAUGAUUCUAUCUGCUGGGUCAUGUAUUUACAUAAGAAUAGAGUAUAUAUGUGGUGUUUUUCAAAUUAAUUAAAAUGUGGCUUCUUAAAAAUGUUCUCCAACUGUUUACAUUCCUCCAGCUUCUUACCUGUUUUUUUGAUGACCCAAAGCUACUUUAAUCUGAUAGCAUCAUCUGUCACAAGCCCCACUGAGGGUAUGUCUACACUGCAAUAAAAGACCUGUGGCACAGCCAUGCCAGGCCCGGCUUAGCUAACUCUGGCUGUGGGGCUAAAAAUUGCAGUGUAGAUGUUUGGGCUCAGUCUGGAGCCCCUGGGCUACAAGACCCUGUGAAUGGGGUUGGUCUCAUAGCCUGGGCUCCAGCCCAAGCCUGAACAUCUACACUGCAAUUUUUAGCCCUGUGAGCCUGAGUCAAUUGACCUGGACUCUGAGACUCAGUGCUGCAGGUUUUUUAUUACAGUGUAGAUGUAUCCUGAGAAAGCGACAGCCCUGCAGUGUUGUAUGCCAGUCCUUAGGUGCAGCAUAAUCCCUGCUCUCACAGCAAUUCCCUGUGUCUAAAUUUUGACAGGGUAUCAAAUAAUACUGGGGAUUAGACACUGAAGACCUUACAGCAGAACUGUCAUUGCAAAAUAUGUAGAGUAGAACUACACCUCUAACCUAUCCCUUUAAAUAUACUUAUUAAAGAAAUAUUCCUUUUACGAGAAUUAUAUGUUGGUGAAAUAUUACAUGCCUAGAACCCCAACCAGGGGUAUUCUAUUUGCUACCAAAGAUGCAUAAACCUGGAAAUCCUGGAUGCCCCAUUAUCUCAGGCAUUGGCACCCUAACAGCAGGAUUGUCUGGCUAUGUGGACUCUCUCCUCAGGCCCUACGCUACCAGCACUCCCUGCUAUCUUCAAGACACCACUGACUUCCUGAGGAAACUACAAUCCAUCGGCGAUCUUCCAGAAAACACCAUCCUGGCCACUGUGGAUGUAGAAGCCCUCUACACCAACAUUCCACACAAAGAUGGACUACAAGCUGUCAGGAACAGUAUCCCCGAUAAUGUCAUGGCAAACCUGGUGGCUGACCUUUGUGACUUUGUCCUCACCCACAACUAUUUCACAUCUGGGGACAAUAUAUACCUUCAAGUCAGCGGCACUGCUAUGGGUACCCGCAUGGCCCCACAGUAUGCCAACAUUUUUAUGGCUGACUUAGAACAACACUUCCUUAGCUCUCGUCCCCUAAUGCCCCUACUCUACUUGCGCUACAUUGAUGACAUCUUCAUCAUCAUUGAGGACAUCUGGACCCAUGGAAAAGAAGACUUUGAGAAAUUCCACCAUGAUUUCAACAAUUUCCAUCCCACCAUCAACCUCAGCCUGGACCAGUCCACACAAGCGGUGCAUUUCCUGGACACUAUUGUGCAAAUGAGCGAUGGUCACAUAAACAUCACCGUAUACCGGAAACCUAUUGACCACUAUACUUACCUACAUGCCUCCAGCUUCCAUCCAGAUCACACUACACGAUCCUUUGUCUACAGCCAAGCUCUAAGAUACAACCACAUUUGCUCCAAUCCCUGACAGAGACAAACACCUACAAGAUCUCUGUCAAGCAUUCUUAAAACUACAAUACCCACCUGGUGAAGUGAAAAAAUAGAUUAACAGAGCCAGAAGAGUACCCAGAAGUCACCUACCACAGGACAGCCCCAACAAAGAAAACAACAGAAUGCCACUAGCUGUCACCUUCAGCCCCCAACUAAAACCUCUCCUGCACAUCAUCAAAGAUUUACAACCUAUCCUGAAAAAUGAUCCCUCACUCUCACAGAUCUUGGGAGACAGACCAGUCCUCACUUACAGACAGCCCCCCAACCUGAAGCAAAUACUCUCCAGCAACCACACAACAAAAACACUAACCCAGGAACCUAUCCUUGCAACAAAGCCCGAUGCCAACUGUCCACAUAUUUAUUCAAGUGACACCAUCAUAGGACCUAAUCACAUUAGCCAUGCCAUCAGGGGCUCAUUGACCUGCACAUCUACCAAUGUGAUAUAUGCCAUCAUAUGCCAGCAAUGUCCCUCUGCCAUGUACAUUGGCCAAACCGGACAGUCUCUACGCAAAAGAAUAAAUGGACACAAAUCUGACAUCAGGAAUCAUAACAUUCAAAAACUGGUAGAACACUUCAACCUCUCUGGCCACUCAGUAAAAGACUUAAGGGUGGCAAUUUUGCAAACUAGAUGCCAUUAACUUGGGUUUGAAUAGAGACUGGGAGUGGUUGGGUCAUUACACAUAUUGAAUCUAUUUCCCUAUGUAAGUAUCCUCACACCUUCUUGUCAACUGUCUAAAUGGGCCGUCUUGAUUAUCACUACAAAAGUUUUUUUUCUCCUGCUGAUAAUAGAUCAUCAUAAUUAAUUAGCCUCUUACAGAUUCAACUUCCACCUUCUCUGUACUAUAUGUUCCAUUCUAUGUAUCUGAUGAAGUGGGCUGUAGCCCAUGAAAACUUAUGCUCUAAUACAUUAGUCCCUAAGGUGCCACAAGUACUCCUGUUCUUUAUUCCUAUUGGGUGCGUCUCUCAUUUUAUUACAGGAAAGAUGUAUAUGGUUACCAUCUAUACUUGCUUAUAAGCCAGGAACACUAACAUGAAUAUUGAAAUUGAUCCAUGUGUCAGCUGAUCAUAGAUACAAGUAUAUAUGUAUCUAGUAGCACACAUAUGACUACUAUGGACACACCCCAGCCAGGUGAAGAUAAGUCAGUGGGGCCAGUAGUAGCAGUUGCUACCUAGGGAUCCUGAAUAUGUUUGAAGGAAGCACUUUCCUUUUAAAUCCUAGAUUUUUUUCAAAUGCUUCUAACUAUCCACAGAACUUAGCCUGUGGCUGGAAUUCCUCAUGUUUGUCUCAGCCCAACUGUGACUCUGGGUUGUGGAAAAUAUGGCAUGAUUCUGCUCAGCAAUUUUUGGAUUGCCCACAUGCAGAAAGAAAAGUGUUUUUUUACAGCUUAACCCUGGAGGAACUGGACAGUUGCCAGAUCACUGUCAGCUGGAGACCAGAGGACCACAUGACAGGAAGAGGUGGACCACUGGAGAAGCAGAGCACUUAUUGGCAGGGGAUGCCACAUGGGAAGAGUGUCGCCAUGCCCAGCCACGAGGAGGUGCUCUAAUGGUGAGUUCACCCUUUCACAGAGGCCAUUACUGGAAUACUGUGUCCUGUUCUAGAAUCCACACUCCAAAAAGGAUGCUCAAAAACUAAAAAAGGAGCUACAAAAAUGAUUCACUGUCUGGAAAACCUGCCUUAUUCUCAGUGUAUUUAGUUUAUCCAAGAAAAGAUUAAGAAGUGACUUGAUCAUAGUCUGCAAAUACAGGGAGAAGAGAUUCCUGAUAGAUAGCUCAA